GAGAAAAAAAGAGUGGAGAUGUGGGCAGGGACGAUGAGGUAGAAGCAGUCCUUCAGUUCGCCAGAAAGAAGAGCACAGUAAGAUUUCUCAGUCUGAGGAACCUGGUGAAUGAGUCUCCCAAGAACAUGAGCCCUUCUUCCUCCUCAGACAGAAACUGAAUUGUUGGGUCUGCCUACAGUGAGUGAAAAUCAAAACAGCCUGCUUCUCUCCGAUUUUCUUUAAGUGUUGUGAUGUCUGUUCCAUUUAGAAAGAACUAGGAACUACCCUUUGAAAGAAAACGUGGGAUUCAGGAGCCAGUAGGAGCAAUUUCUGUUAAUGUACACUGAAUUCCUGCGACUAUCCACACACCUCAGGUAUGUUCACUUAUGCCUGUGUUAAAUGAAAACACAUUGCGGAGGGGUGGGGGGGCGGAGGAGAAAGAGAAAGGAUGUAAGUAAAGAAAGGGAACGUUUAGACCUUAAAGUCCUCUAGUUCUGCUUAGAUUCUGUGUUGAUCCUGUACCCAUCUUUCCUGAUGUCUGAAUCUAUUUUCCCUCUGAAGUGCCUGGUGAUCUUUCUUUGGAUCCUGUUUGCACAGAAUUGAUAGACCUGAUUAAUGGGACUCCUCAUAUGUGUGGUUUGUUGGGGUGGGGUGCCAAAGACAUGCUAAGAAUCACAGGCAAUAAUGUAAAGUCACUUUGUUUAAACCAACUGAACAAAAAUAAAAUGAUUUGCCCUCCUGGAGCUACUGUGGAGAUCUGUCAAGUGCACAAAAUCACAAAACCAGAGACCUGGAAGCAGGUCCCGGGAAGAAUGUCUGAGAUGGGCAAAGCGGUACCUACUACAGGGGGUUGAAAAUUGCCUAGCAGCAGAGGGGUUUCUAAUUAAUCAGAACAGAGAACUCCUUCAUCUGGAAUACUUAAUCAGGAAUGAGAAAACCUUCUUAUGAUGAAAUAUUCUAGGCAAAUAUAGAAAGUCCUUUGCUACCCUGAAAUACUAGCUACUAAUAAAUAUGACCUAAAUAAUAAACGUCACCCACCAAAACUGUCUUUCGGAGGGAAGCUCGUGCCGAAGCUAUGCACGGCAAGAUUUCUGAGAAAUGAAGCCUACUGGAAAACU
rnacentral:lncRNA from 1 species